ACCCGCUGAAUUUAAGCAUAUUAGUCAGCGGAGGAAAAGAAACUAACCAGGAUUCCCUCAGUAACGGCGAGUGAACAGGGA
rfam:TPA: Bos taurus chromosome 6, whole genome shotgun sequence.